CUACGGGGCGCUCCAGUGAGGAAUAUUGCACAGUGGGGGGAACCCUGAUGCAGCAACGCCGCGUGGAGGAUGACGCAUUUCGGUGUGUAAACUCCUUUUAUAUGUCAAGAAAAUGACGGUAGCAUAUGAAUAAGCACCGGCUAGCUCCGUGCCAGCAGCCGCGGUAAUACGGAGGGUGCAAGCGUUACUCGGAAUCACUGGGCGUAAAGGACGCGUAGGCGGGUUGGAAAGUCAGGUGUGAAAUCCUACAGCUUAACUGUAGAACUGCACUUGAAACUUCUAAUCUAGAGUAUGGGAGGGGGAGAUGGAAUUAGUGGUGUAGGGGUAAAAUCCGUAGAUAUCACUAGGAAUACCUAAAGCGAAGGCGAUCUCCUGGAACAUUACUGACGCUAAGGCGUGAAAGCGUGGGGAGCAAACAGGAUUAGAUACCCCAGUAGUC
rnacentral:rRNA from 1 species